GACGAACGCUGGGGGCGUGCUUAACACAUGCAAGUCGAACGGAAAGGCCCUGCUUGCAGGGUACUCGAGUGGCGAACGGGUGAGUAACACGUGGGUGAUCUGCCCUGCACUUCGGGAUAAGCCUGGGAAACUGGGUCUAAUACCGGAUAGGAGCCAUUUUUAGUGUGAUGGUUGGAAAGUUUUUUCGGUGUAGGAUGAGCUCGCGGCCUAUCAGCUUGUUGGUGGGGUAAUGGCCUACCAAGGCGGCGACGGGUAGCCGGCCUGAGAGGGUGGACGGCCACAUUGGGACUGAGAUACGGCCCAGACGCCUACGGGAGGCAGCAGUGGGGAAUAUUGCACAAUGGGCGCAAGCCUGAUGCAGCGACGCCGCGUGGGGGAUGACGGCCUUCGGGUUGUAAACUCCUUUCGCUAGGGACGAAGCUUUUUGUGACGGUACCUAGAGAAGAAGCACCGGCUAACUACGUG
rnacentral:rRNA from 1 species